CCUACGGGAGGCAGCAGUGAGGAAUAUUGGUCAAUGGGCGCGAGUCUGAACCAGCCAAGUAGCGUGAAGGAUGACUGCCCUACGGGUUGUAAACUUCUUUUAUAGGGGAAUAAAGGUAUCCACGUGUGGAUAUUUGCAUGUACCCUAUGAAUAAGCAUCGGCUAACUCCGUGCCAGCAGCCGCGGUAAUACGGAGGAUGCGAGCGUUAUCCGGAUUUAUUGGGUUUAAAGGGUGCGUAGGUUGUUUUUUAAGUCAGCGGUGAAAGUUUGUGGCUCAACCAUAAAAUUGCCGUUGAAACUGGCAGACUUGAGUGUGUUUGAGGGAGGCGGAAUGCGUGGUGUAGCGGUGAAAUGCAUAGAUAUCACGCAGAACUCCGAUUGCGAAGGCAGCUUACUAGGCCAUAACUGACACUGAAGCACGAAAGCGUGGGGAUCAAACAGGAUUAGAUACCCCGGUAGUC
rnacentral:rRNA from 1 species